AUGAAUAAAAGCUAAAAUUCCAGUUCAGUUGUUGACUGGCUUCCGAUCGAGAAGGUUGUAUUUGUUAAUUCGUUGUGACGAAAAAAUAGACAAGUAAUAAAUAAAAACAGUUCUUUUAUUUGCUAUUUCAGCAGUGUUCGGUCAAUCACCAUUGCCCUCGAGAAUUGGUGGUCAACGUCCGCGCUGAUGCAGCACAAAGUACUUGGUGCCUCACUACACCCAUCACCACCCUCAGCCGGACAGCUUCAUAUCACACAUACCAUACUGCCUCGCUAUAUGAUCAGUCGAUUGACAUCAAAAUGUGUCGAAUUAAAUGUGCCAUUGAUUUGUGCUUCAUUUCUGUGCCCGCCAAAGCAGAUACCUACCCACAGCACAGGCACAUACCUAAGUAUACAUAGAGCUAUAGGUGGUGCCUGACUUGGUCGGUCUAUGGUGUGUUCUCUUCUAGUCUUCAACGCGAUCAGUCGUCGGCUGCGCCAAUAAAUACCACUUGGUGGUUCCGUGACUUUUAAAUUAGCCUUGUAAGUCAAUAAAGAAAAAUACCAUAAGCAAAA